rnacentral:rRNA from 1 species
UACGUAGGGUGCAAGCGUUGUCCGGAAUUAUUGGGCGUAAAGAGCUCGUAGGCGGUCUGUCGCGUCUGCUGUGAAAACUCGGGGCUUAACCCCGGGCCUGCAGUGGGUACGGGCAGACUAGAGUGCGGUAGGGGAGACUAGAAUUCCUGGUGUAGCGGUGAAAUGCGCAGAUAUCAGGAGGAACACCGGUGGCGAAGGCGGGUCUCUGGGCCGUAACUGACGCUGAGGAGCGAAAGCGUGGGGAGCGAACAGG